AUACGUAGGUGGCGAGCGUUGUCCGGAAUUACUGGGUGUAAAGGGCGUGUAGGCGGGGCGUCAAGUCAGGUGUGAAAGACCGGGGCUCAACCUCGGGUAUGCAUCUGAAACUGAUGCUCUUGAGUGUCGGAGAGGAAAGCGGAAUUCCCAGUGUAGCGGUGAAAUGCGUAGAGAUUGGGAGGAACACCAGUGGCGAAGGCGGCUUUCUGGACGACAACUGACGCUGAGGCGCGAAAGCGUGGGGAGCAAACAGGAUUAGAUACCCUGGUAGUCCACGCUGUAAACGAUGGAUACUAGGUGUAGGAGGUAUCGACCCCUUCUGUGCCGGAGUUAACACAAUAAGUAUCCCACCUGGGGAGUACGGCCGCAAGGCUGAG
rnacentral:rRNA from 1 species